AUCCAGCGAACUUGGCAGAGAUGCCUUGGUGCCUUCGGGAACGCUGAGACAGGUGCUGCAUGGCUGUCGUCAGCUCGUGUUGUGAAAUGUUGGGUUAAGUCCCGNAACGAGCGCAACCCUUAUCCUUUGUUGCCAGCGAUUCGGUCGGGAACUCAAAGGAGACUGCCGGUGAUAAACCGGAGGAAGGUGGGGAUGACGUCAAGUCAUCAUGGCCCUUACGAGUAGGGCUACACACGUGCUACAAUGGCGCAUACAAAGAGAAGCGACCUCGCGAGAGCAAGCGGACCUCAUAAAGUGCGUCGUAGUCCGGAUCGGAGUCUGCAACUCGACUCCGUGAAGUCGGAAUCGCUAGUAAUCGUGGAUCAGAAUGCCACGGUGAAUACGUUCCCGGGCCUUGUACACACCGCCCGUCACACCAUGGGAGUGGGUUGCAAAAGAAGUAGGUAGCUUAACCUUCGGGAGGGCGCUUACCACUUUGUGAUUCAUGACUGGGGUGAAGUCGUAACAAGGUAAGCGUAGCGAG
rnacentral:rRNA from 1 species